UACGUAGGGGGCUAGCGUUGUCCGGAAUCAUUGGGCGUAAAGCGCGUGUAGGCGGCCCGAUAAGUCCGCUGUGAAAGUCCAGGGCUCAACCCUGGGAUGCCGGUGGAUACUGUCGGGCUCGAGUCCGGAAGAGGAGUGUGGAAUUCCUGGUGUAGCGGUGAAAUGCGCAGAUAUCAGGAGGAACACCAAUAGCGAAGGCAGCUCGCUGGGACGUUACUGACACUGAGGCGCGAAAGCGUGGGGAGCGAACAGG
rnacentral:rRNA from 1 species